CCGGAAGCGGAAGCUCCUUGGGGAAACGGCAAACCCCCGAGCCGGUUCCCAGGCCGGGCAGAGACCAACUCUGGGGUCUCUUGGUGGGAGGGUGGAGAGCCCGUCUUCUGCUGAGUGCUGCUGCCCCCUCCCAGGAGACCAGAGCUGGAACUUCAUCGCGCUGCAACCCCCGGCUCGGGAUCCUGGGGCAUCCUUUGGCAGCCGAUUGUACCCUGCACUAGAGAGAAGUCCAGGAAUGAUAUAUUCUUGGGCUGUAUUUCUCUACCCUGGAAUUCAUCCAGUUCAUCCCAGAAACACUGACCUGGUUACUGUGACAAAGUCUGAUGGAUAGACCCUUUCUGUUGACCUUGCGGCGUUUUUCUUUCAUGUGGAAGUUGGAAGACAAGGUGAAAGGGGCCAAAAGUGACCUGCCUUGGUGAAUAGGAGUGCUCUACUUGGUUCUCAGAACAUGGGCCCUCGUUUAAAGCUGCAGCUGUGAUCCUCGGCUGUCUGUUGGCAUUGAAGGGACCUGAUGUUUUACGUUAUUGGUGGAAUCACAGUGUCUGUGGUUGCAUUCUUCUUCACAAUUAAGUUCCUCUUUGAGCUUGCCGCACGUGUAGUCAGCUUCCUCCAGAAUGAGGACCGCGAGCGCCGAGGAGACCGGACUAUUUAUGACUACGUGCGAGGAAAUUACCUGGAUCCCCGGUCUUGCAAAGUCUCCUGGGAUUGGAAGGACCCCUAUGAGGUGGGCCACAGCAUGGCCUUCCGAGUGCAUUUAUUCUAUAAGAACGGGCAGCCUUUCCCUGCACAUCGGCCUGUGGGACUAAGAGUUCACAUCUCUCAUGUCGAGCUAGCAGUGGAAAUUCCAGUGACCCAGGAAGUCCUUCAGGAGCCCAAUUCCAAUGUGGUAAAAGUGGCCUUCACUGUGCGCAAGGCUGGGCGUUAUGAAAUCACAGUGAAGCUUGGCGGAUUAAAUGUGGCAUACAGUCCCUACUACAAAAUUUUUCAACCUGGAAUGGUGGUUCCUUCUAAGACCAAAAUUGUGUGCCACUUUUCUACUCUUGUAUUGACCUGUGGGCAGCCGCACACUCUUCAAAUAGUACCCCGAGAUGAGUAUGAUAAUCCCACCAACAAUUCCAUGUCCUUGAGAGAUGAGCACAAUUACACCUUGUCCAUUCAUGAGCUCGGCCCUCAAGAAGAAGAGAGUACUGGUGUCUCAUUUGAGAAGUCAGUGACAUCCAACAGGCAGACUUUCCAGGUGUUCUUGCGACUCACCCUGCAUUCUCGAGGCUGCUUCCAUGCCUGCAUUUCAUACCAAAAUCAGCCAAUCAAUAAUGGCGAAUUUGACAUUAUUGUCCUAAGUGAGGAUGAGAAGAACAUCGUCGAACGCAAUGUGUCCACUUCAGGUGUGAGCAUUUACUUUGAGGCUUAUCUUUAUAAUGCUACCAACUGUAGCAGCACUCCAUGGCACCUGCCACCCAUGCACAUGACCUCUUCCCAGCGCCGGCCGUCCACUGCUGUUGACGAGGAAGAUGAAGACUCGCCCUCUGAGUGCCACACCCCUGAGAAGGUGAAGAAGCCGAAGAAGGUGUACUGCUAUGUGUCACCAAAGCAAUUCUCAGUAAAGGAGUUCUACCUGAAGAUCAUCCCCUGGCGCCUUUAUACCUUCCGAGUGUGUCCAGGAACAAAAUUUUCAUACCUUGGUCCUGACCCUGUCCAUAAGCUCCUCACACUGGUGGUGGAUGAUGGCAUUCAACCUCCUGUGGAGCUCAGCUGUAAGGAGAGGAACAUUCUGGCUGCCACUUUUAUCCGCUCCCUGCAUAAGAACAUAGGAGGCUCUGAGACCUUUCAGGACAAGGUGAACUUUUUCCAGCGAGAGCUUCGGCAGGUCCACAUGAAAAGACCACAUUCCAAAGUCACCCUGAAGGUCAGCAGGCAUGCCUUAUUGGAAUCGUCUCUGAAAGCCACUCGGAAUUUCUCCAUCUCAGAUUGGAGCAAGAACUUUGAGGUUGUUUUCCAGGAUGAAGAAGCUCUGGACUGGGGAGGGCCUCGCCGGGAAUGGUUUGAGCUCAUCUGCAAAGCGCUGUUUGAUACCACCAAUCAGCUCUUCACCCGGUUCAGUGACAACAACCAAGCACUAGUGCAUCCCAACCCUAAUCGCCCCGCUCAUCUGCGCCUGAAAAUGUAUGAGUUUGCCGGACGGCUCGUGGGCAAGUGUCUCUACGAGUCCUCUCUAGGAGGAGCCUACAAGCAGUUGGUUCGAGCUCGCUUCACCCGCUCUUUCCUGGCCCAAAUCAUAGGUCUGCGUAUGCAUUACAAGUACUUUGAAACAGAUGACCCAGAAUUCUACAAAUCUAAAGUUUGUUUUAUCCUCAACAAUGACAUGAGUGAGAUGGAGCUGGUCUUUGCAGAAGAGAAAUAUAAUAAAUCAGGUCAAUUGGAUAAGGUUGUAGAACUCAUGACAGGUGGAGCUCAAACUCCAGUCACCAAUGCGAAUAAAAUCUUCUAUUUAAAUUUGCUGGCCCAAUAUCGGCUGGCCAGUCAAGUGAAAGAGGAGGUGGAACAUUUCCUAAAAGGCCUGAAUGAAUUGGUCCCUGAGAACCUUUUGGCUAUUUUUGAUGAGAAUGAGCUUGAGCUUCUGAUGUGUGGGACUGGAGACAUCAGUGUGUCUGACUUCAAAGCUCAUGCAGUAGUUGUUGGUGGCUCAUGGCAUUUCAGAGAAAAGGUCAUGAGGUGGUUUUGGACUGUGGUUUCCAGUCUGACCCAGGAGGAGCUGGCUCGGCUUCUUCAGUUCACAACAGGCUCCUCUCAGCUACCACCUGGAGGCUUUGCCGCCCUCUGUCCCUCAUUUCAGAUUAUUGCCGCUCCGACCCAUAGCACGCUGCCUACUGCACACACAUGUUUUAACCAGCUGUGCCUCCCUACAUAUGACUCCUAUGAAGAGGUGCACAGGAUGCUGCAGCUGGCCAUCAGCGAGGGUUGCGAGGGCUUUGGCAUGCUCUGACCGCUCUCCUGUCAUCCACUUGGCUCCCAUGCUCUCUGGAGCUUCUGGGCACAAGUUACAGACAUCAUAACCACUGAUCCUAACACACAUAACCAUCAGCCAGAAGAUGCCGCAUGCUCCCUUGUGUCUGGAGGAUUGUGUCACCUACAAGCCUUGUCUUUACCUCACCUGCUCUCUGCCCAUAUCUACCACAGGCCACUUUGGCAUGGCGGGCCAGAGAGAAUGAGUACUGAAGACACCUAGCCCAAACAUUCAUGAAGAAGACCCCAAGUCAGAAGAGGCUUCUUCCUCCUUUGCAUGAUCCUGUAAGGACGGAAGAGGUAUUUGAGGGAGCUGUAUCUCAAGCCUAUGUCAUGUGGUAGGAACCUUGACUUCCUUUAAUUCACCUGAUUACUCAAUCAUGAUAAUAGCUACCAUUUUUUUUUAGCUCUUCCCAUAUGCUAGGAGCUCUAGUAUUUUUUGUCUCAUUCACAACAACCCUGCAAGGUAUGUCUUGUUUUCUCUAUUUUACACAAGACACAGUUGAGGCACACAGAGGAUAAGUAAUUGCCAAGGUUUCUUAGCUGGCAAGUGAUAGAGCUGUAUUUGAACAUGGGUCUGUUUUGUGUCAAAGCCCAAACUCCACACUUCUGGUUUGUCUCUAGCAGAUUAGUUUAGACUAAGAAACAGCCCAGGCACUGGGCCACUGUGCUCGCUGACUCUGCCUCGUUCACUUGGUGAUGCUGUGUGUGACAGAUUAACACUUUAUACCUUGGCUUACCUAUCAGUCACUUGGGGAUUUGGGAUUCAUGGGAAAAGGUCCUACUCAUGCAGGAUAGAGAGAUUUUAAGAGAUACAGCUAUUAAUAAUGGCUUUAGAAUCUUUUGCAUGUAGAAAGUUCCUUAGACUACCAACUAAUGAGCGAAGUGACUUCCAAGUUUAAGUGAAUUCUAUAUAAAGAAUACAAGACACCCUUGAGGACGUAACUGAGGAAAAAGGCCCUGAAAUUUUAAUAUCCCUGCUUUGGUGGAAAAUCAAUAGGUAUCAAAUGAAAGAAUGAGGUCAGAUAUGUUACACAAUACCCUGAUGUUUAUCUCUGGUAAUUAAGUCUGCAGAAAAAGACUUAUUUGAAUAAAUCUUUUGUCUCUAAACUUUGCUUAUAUGAAAUAGCACCAUUUGGCAAAGGCCAAAUUCUUGGUGGGUAUCUCACUGAGGAAGCAAACAUUUUCAAGAAUGCCAGAGUUAAAGGGAGAUUACACACACCCUAAACAAGACUGAAGAUACUGUGAAAUUAUUCUCUUGAAACUAGAAGCAUAGUAUCUUCUCCAGGGUGAGGGGUUUCUGUACCUCUCUUGAGUGAAGUCGCUCUUUCUGCAGACCCCCACUUCACCUGCAUUAUGGAUUUGCACAUAAAGGAAUUUUUCUGAAUCUUCCCGUCUUCUACAGACCAACAAUGUUCCCUCUCUCCUCAGAACUCCCACUUGAAGGAGUUGCCAAGACAUUCCUCUGUUUGCCCAUUAGCAGAGUCAGGGAUAUCAGAGUAUUUGCAAGCCAGCUAGAGAGCCUUUGAUGGCUUUUAUGUUAUGUUGAAAACAAAAUGUUGUGUUAUUGUGCAAGAGGAAGAUUAUGUGUGUGUCAUCGUUUUGUGCUUGGUCUCCUACGUCCAAUCCUGCUCUAAGUUGUCAUUUCGUUUCCUAACCUUCUCCUCUCCCCAGUCGGGUAUUUCUGUUCCAUCCCUGAGUUUGUAGCCUCCCUUUUUUUUUCUUGAGUUCUGUGCAGCUCUGCAUUUCAGCAGACAUCUCCUAUGCAUCAGGCACUGUGCGGGGAGCUAGGGACACACAAGAUAGAAUGUGAUCCUGGCCUCUGAGCAGCUUACAAUCUUGGGAGACAGACAUAAACAAUCUAUUUUCCUUAGAGUUUCCUUCUCAUGAAGCUUGGGCACCCAAACCCAUCACCACUGCCCCCACCCCCACCCAAUAGUUUCUCCUGUUUGCUUGGUGGGGAGCAUUUCUUUUUAUAUAUUUGGAGACUUUCUCUAAUACGGAGUUGCUGUUGCUACAAGUGAAAUUAGUCUAGUUUCCCACAGAAAGAGAGGGAAGUUACUCUCCCUGUUGAUUUUCAGAGAAGAAAGAACCCUUGUAAAGAUAGAUUCCAAACCAAGAGACCCAAGGAGCAAGCCCAUUAUUGUGCCAUAAAUAGGCCGUCACCUGGGCAGGUCCUGGGACAGGCUGAGAAAGGGGACUUGGUGAUCUAAGGGCCCACUCUUCCUUUAAUCUGCUCUCCCAGACAAAGCAGACCUGAAGUGUUGACUUUGGCAAUGGGCGACUGGCCAGUAGCCUACAGCUCAGUGAAUGAAAUUAGAAUCUUGAGUGGAUGGGGAGUGGGAGGUAUCUCCAACACUAAUGGCAAUCAAAGGGUUUGUGCUAUGGUUAUAAUCAGUAUGGCAGAGGAAAGUCAAGGGAAUACCAUUUCCAGUAAACUCAGAGGUGUGAAAAGGCAAAUCAAUUUUAUGAACAGCCAUGAAGUUGGUUGGUUGUGACCACUAUGGGUGGAGACACUGAGCUUCAGUGGAAUUUCCCUUAAUAUUAAACCAGGAAACUACAGUCCCUGGUUAUCUCUCUGUCAUAUACAGCAGCUGACAUCUAUUCCUCCCUGGGGAUUGGGCAGAUCUUAAAGUUGAUCGCCUAAGCUUCUGACUGGGAUCACAGCUGGAUAGGGGUUGGGUCAGGCCAUUGCCUUUAGAAAACCAGUUCUUUAGGCUCUCUUUCCUAUGGGAUUUCUCUGAAACCUUGUUCAUGAUGAUGCCAACUUGUGUCUCCUUGAAAAAUCACAAUGGAAUUAAUUAAUCAAUGGAAUUAAACUUGGGUGUUCU